GUGAAUCAUCAAAUUUUUGAACGCAAAUUGCACUCUCCGGUUUUCCGGGAGAGUAGGCCUGUUUGAGGGUCAGCCUAAAAAAAAUCGACAUUGUUGCUGUAUUAUGGUGACUUUCGUCGGAGAUGGGGUAUCUUAAAUCUCUGUUGAAGCGACUUAAAAAUUUUUGUUACGAUUCGAAGAAAGUUUCUAAGAGUGGUCUGGUACGUGUAAGGUAUCGAAUGUCUGAUUAGACGUGGCCGUCAUAUCGGAUCGUGGCC
rnacentral:misc_RNA from 1 species